GGUCUGGAGCAUUUCUUAAUUGAGGGAGAUCUCAUUUUGGAGUCUAGGGCUAGCUCAGAAAGAGAAAGAGAAAGAGAAAGAGAAAGAGAGAGUGACCGGCGAAGAUGGGAGGAGGACACGGCGAGGGCAUAACGUAUAAGGGAAUCACGGUGCAUCAGCCAAAGCGGUGGCACACCCUCACCGGCAAAGGCAUGUGUGCUGUGAUGUGGUUUUGGGUACUGUACAGGGCCAAGAAGGAUGGUCCUGUAGUUUUGGGUUGGAGACACCCCUGGGAGGGCCACGAGGAUCAUCAUUAGGUUUCCUGUGGAAGAGCCAAGAGUUGAUAUCAUAAAGGGCUUAUUAGGCGGGAUACUAGUGUAAGUGUCAUGUGGAGCAUCUGUCUUGAUUUCGGUUUAAUAAAGUGAUUGUGAAGAAAAAUAUUGUGAUAUGAAUGAUGUUGAUGACAUCAAACUCCGUUUCAAAAUGUUAUAUUUAUGAUGCUUGUAUUUUUUACACACCUUGUGAAGUUGAAACUACUUCCCUUUUUCGUUCCA